GGCGCUUACAGGAGGACCGCACGCCCCCAUAUCUCCUCUACUCUCCCAUCCUAGUAAAGAAAUGAGAAAAAGAAAGAGGGAGGAGAGGGAAGACGGCUGGGACGGGUGCCUCAUUUAAAUGUCUUUUCUUAGUUCCUGGGAGUUAGCAAUAUGGUGUGUGGCGCUAACUCCCUGAGGUAGUCUAAUGUUAUUAUCGGAUUAGCGGGAAAAGCACCGAAGCUGGACAAUAUUUACUACAGAUGGAGAUGUUUUCAGUUUACCCCGACGGAAACUGUUUGCGCAGACUUAAUUGAUAAGCCACACUGCAUUGGCAUUUUAAGAAAAAUUUUACCGGUUUGACCCCGCCGAUUACACAAACAUCCCCCGGGGAAUCGGCUUAUGCAGGCCCUUGUCAAAGCGAAGGGACGUUUUCCGGCUUGAUCGGAGUCGCCAGACCCACACGGACGGGCUAAACGCGACUAUUUCUUGAUCCGGAAAAGAUGCAAUUCUCCUGGGCGACCUAAACAAAGGUUCAAGUUACAGCUUCAAAGCGGAAAAAGUCCACAUACUUCGGGUGGAAGAACAUUUGGGAGUGUGUGACCUGGCUUACGGCAACAAAUCAAAACAUUGGUGUUUUGGAAAUCUGAGCCCACUGUGGGGACCGAGGGAAAGUAACUGUCUUCUGCAAAGGACGGGAGGAAAGGAAGCUGCGCUCCCCACAGAAGAGAAGUACACGCACACACUCUCUCACACAUACACUGACACAUACACAUUCACACACUCUCUCACACUGACACACACACUCUCUCACACACUCACACAUACACAUUCACACACACUCU